rnacentral:misc_RNA from 1 species
CAGAGUUGAAAGACUCCCAAACCAUCGCGAACGCUACCCCUAUCGUUGCUUCGGCGGGCGUCAUCUCCCCAGCCAGCCCCUCGCGGGCGGGCGGGGAGAGCCUGCCGGCGGCACCCAAAACUCUGUUUUUUUACCACUGGACCUCUCUGAGUAUACUGUAUUAAAAUCAGUCA